UUCAGAGGUCCCGAGCGUUGUUCGGAUUUACUGGGCGUAAAGGGAGCGUAGGCGGUUCGGUAUGUCGAAUGUGAAAGCCCACAACUCAACUGUGGAAAUGCAUUCGAAACUGGAGGGCUUGAGGAUCGGAGAGGGCAGUGGAAUUCCCAGUGUAGCGGUGAAAUGCGUAGAUAUUGGGAGGAACACCAGUGGCGAAGGCGACUGCCUGGACGACACCUGACGCUGAGGCGCGAAAGCUAGGGUAGCGAACGGGAUUAGAUACCCGGGUAGU
rnacentral:rRNA from 1 species